ensembl:snRNA U2 U2 spliceosomal RNA
GUUGCUGUUUUUAUGUGUAUAAAAAAAAAAAAAAAAAAAAAAAAAAAAAAAUCUGUUCUUAUCAGUUUAAUAUCUGAUACGUCCCCUAUCUGGGGACCAUAUAUUAAAUUGAUUUUUGGAAUAGGGAGAUGGAAUAGGGGCUUGCUCCGUCCACUCCACGCAUCGACCUGGUAUUGCAGUACCUCCAGGAACGGUGCACCCCCU